AUUCGCCCCCUUCUCUCUGCACUUCCUCUCCUCUCGCCGCCGCCGCCCCGUCCUCCUCGAUUUGCCGCCACGUUCUUCAGGUGGCUUUCCUCUCGCUUACCGUCGAUGCUGCCGCAGCCGCCUCUCUCGCUACUGCUGCCAAGACGAGGCCGCCGUCGAGCUUGCUCCUCGUCAUCCCUGGGAGGGCGUCGACGAGCUCGGUGAGCGCCAAGCCGUCAUCCUCGCGUCGACCUGCCCCUCCCGGUGUGCUUGGCAGCCUGAGGACUUGAGCGUGGCGUCCACGUUGGACCGCUGUGGGCUCAAGCGGCCCUUCCCGCCGCCGUCGCUGGCAAGCACAUCCGCGCGCUCAUGGGGCGGCGGCACGGCUCCGUCAAGCCCAAUGAGGCAUCCAUCCUCGAGGGCAGCGAGCCGGAGCUGGGCCUGGACAAGGGAUUCAGUUUCUCCAAGCACUUCUUCGCCAAGUACGAGCUCGGCGAGGAGGCCAGCUGCGGUCACUUUGGAUACACCUGCGCCGCCAAGGCCAAGAAGGGCGAGCACAAGGGCCAGGGCGUCGCCGUCAAGGUCAUUCCCAAGGCCAAGGCAUGUCCGUCUGAAUGAUGAUGUCAUAUUGCAGUUUGGAUCGAAAGGUGCUCGAUGAUUCGCUUCAUAGGACCACUGCUGCUCGGAUUGAUUUCGUUGUUACACAGGUGUUUUGCUAAUCGCGUUUGUCAAGAUUGUUCUUUGACUGUAUAUAUGUGCUCUCACAAUGUUUGCAAAUGCAUAUGGUGUCGAGUGUACAGCCAUACACGCGAGUCAUUUCACCAUUUUGCAUCACUCUGAUAUUGAUAUCGUUUGUCUUGAAUAUAUCGCCAUAUAGUAUUCAGAGAUGAUCGAGCAGGUUGACCGUGGUGUAAAACAUACUCACCCUGACAUGCAUUUCUUCUGUGGAAACACUUCUUUUGCAAAAUCCAAUCAGGAUUCUCUGAGAAAUAUAUUAAUUAUCUUCGCCAAGCUGAAUACUGGGAUAAAGUCAUUUGUGUCUACCACUUCCAUAUUUUCUUGAGGAGAUUAUGUUGAUAUAUUUAGGGUAGUCAUUCCAGGUUGGGGUUGGAGGGCGGUAAAAGGAGCAUGUUAUCAUAGCAUUGGCGGUGGCUCAUCUUGGGUUACUCCGUCGUCCUAUAAGGUCGCCGACAGACUAUCAGAUCUCUAGGAGGUGGUGCUGGGUGGUGAUGUCACUUAGUUGGAAACUUGCUGGGUUGUAUUCUGAAUAAUAGUGCAAGGUACCUUGAGUAAAUGAUCUGCAAAUCAGUGCAUCUGGAACGCUAGGAUGUGUGGGGACAAAAAGCUUUACGAGGCUUGUCAGCAAUGAUUGAUGAGAUAAUUGGUUCAGCUACUUUCGUAAGAGGCGACGGGAAUCAUAAAUACCACAAUGGCUAUGAAGAUUCAACAUAUAGAAAGAUGGAAGAGCUCAGCUGAGAGUGAGCAACAGGCAGAGCUGGAUGCACAUGGGAGAUUGAAAAGAAGUUUGGUUGCAGGAUGCAUUACUAACUGUUCCGCGUAGACGAUCAGACUCUUCAAAAUAUAGCGUAAGGAAAGGUUGAUGUUUGCCAAGUUUCCUCUACCACUCUUCUUAUGCAUGAUUCCUUAUUAAGAUUCACAAAGGUGGCUAGCCCAGUAAAUGAAUCUACUUCUGGGCUGAUUCAUGUUGUCAGAAUCACACAGAGGUCAUGACUGAUUGUGCACCAGAAUCUUGAGUGUGAUUCACGUAGUUUGGUGUUUUUAUUAUGAUUAAGGCUCAGGUCUUUUGCCUGGAAGUAUUAUUAUAUUGAUUGAAUUAACUUAAUAUUAGUUCUUCAUGAUUAUUUUUGUUGGUCCAUCUAUUUUAUUGUUAUAUAGAAGACAACAAAAUGUUUGUACUUAGGAUGUGCAUAUGUGAUUUGUUUAAGUUACUAUGUGUCAAGUGAGUAGUACUUACUUAGGGAGCUAGCCCAAUGCUAUGUAAAAAGGAGAUUUAUGAGAAUUCAAUAUUGAAAGAUUUGACAUAUUUUGUCUUUCAUGUUUCUCUAUAUCUGCUACAAUGCCUGGAUUGCCAGAUGUUGGUCUCAGCUCCGAUGGAGAAAUGACAGAUCAAGGGCAUUUAAUCACUAAAGUAGUAUCGAUACCAAUGAUUGGUGAUGCUGAUAAUGGUUAUGGAAACUGUAUCAAUGUCAAGUUGAUAGCGAAAUGAUUUAUCAAUGUUGGUUUUGCUAAAAUUAUUCUUGAAGAUUAACUAUUCAUUUGAAGUAAUAAUAACCUACCUUAGUUUAUUUUUGUUCUACUUGAAAUUCAGCAAUAAAGGGAUUAUGUUAUA